ACUACGGGAGGCAGCAGUGGGGAAUAUUGCGCAAUGGGCGACAGCCUGACGCAGCGACGCCGCGUGAGGGAUGAAGGUCUUCGGAUCGUAAACCUCUGUCCGCAGGGAAGAACGGUCACUGUGCUAAUCAGCAGUGAAUUGACGGUACCUGCAAAGGAAGCACCGGCUAACUCCGUGCCAGCAGCCGCGGUAAUACGGAGGGUGCGAGCCUUAAUCGGAAUUACUGGGCGUAAAGCGCUCGUAGGCGGUAUGUCAAGUCAAGGGUGAAAUCCCCGCGCUCAACGUGGGAACUGCCUUUGAAAAUGGCAAACUGGAGUGUGUGAGAGGAUAGUGGAAUUCCAGGUGUAGGAGUGAAAUCCGUAGAUAUCUGGAGGAACAUCAGUGGCGAAGGCGACUAUCUGGCACAUAACUGACGCUGAGGAGCGAAAGCGUGGGUAGCAAACAGGAUUAGAUACCCCUGUAGUC
rnacentral:rRNA from 1 species